UACGGGGGGAGCAAGCGUUGUUCGGAUUUACUGGGCGUAAAGGGCGCGUAGGCGGCGUGACAAGUCACUUGUGAAAUCUCCGGGCUUAACCCGGAGCGGCCAAGUGAUACUGUCGUGCUAGAGUGCGGAAGGGGCUACUGGAAUUCUCGGUGUAGCGGUGAAAUGCGUAGAUAUCGAGAGGAACACCUGCGGCGAAGGCGGGUUGCUGGGCCGACACUGACGCUGAGGCGCGAAAGCUAGGGGAGCGAACGGG
rnacentral:rRNA from 1 species